UACGUAGGGCGCAAGCGUUGUCCGGAAUUAUUGGGCGUAAAGAGCUCGUAGGCGGCUUAUCACGUCGGGUGUGAAAGCCCGGGGCUUAACCCCGGGUCUGCAUUCGAUACGGGCUGGCUAGAGUGUGGUAGGGGAGAUCGGAAUUCCUGGUGUAGCGGUGAAAUGCGCAGAUAUCAGGAGGAACACCGGUGGCGAAGGCGGAUCUCUGGGCCAUUACUGACGCUGAGGAGCGAAAGCGUGGGGAGCGAACAGG
rnacentral:rRNA from 1 species